GGCUACCCCAACUUUGUGGCAACCUAUGGCAGAGGCUAUCCUGGAUUUGCUCCUAGCUAUGGCUACCAGUUCCCAGGCUUCCCAGCAGCGGCUUAUGGACCAGUGGCGGCGGCAGCUGUGGCAGCGGCUCGAGGAUCAGAGCAUACCUGGAUGUCCAGGCAAGACUGGGCGAAGUUUCUGAGUGGCCCUUUGUUUAGGUGACGUCCUCAGACCUGGAUCCCCCACCAGCCUCACUCCUCAUCCCAACC
rnacentral:lncRNA from 1 species